GAUGAACGCUGGCGGCGUGCCUAAUACAUGCAAGUCGAGCGAACGGAUGAGAAGCUUGCUUCUCUGAUGUUAGCGGCGGACGGGUGAGUAACACGUGGAUAACCUACCUAUAAGACUGGGAUAACUUCGGGAAACCGGAGCUAAUACCGGAUAAUAUUUUGAACCGCAUGGUUCAAAAGUGAAAGACGGUCUUGCUGUCACUUAUAGAUGGAUCCGCGCUGCAUUAGCUAGUUGGUAAGGUAACGGCUUACCAAGGCAACGAUGCAUAGCCGACCUGAGAGGAUGAUCGGCCACACUGGAACUGAGACACGGUCCAGACUCCUACGGGAGGCAGCAGUAGGGAAUCUUCCGCAAUGGGCGAAAGCCUGACGGAGCAACGCCGCGUGAGUGAUGAAGGUCUUCGGAUCGUAAAACUCUGUUAUUAGGGAAGAACAUAUGUGUAAGUAACUGUGCACAUCUUGACGGUACCUAAUCAGAAAGCCACGGCUAACUACGUG
rnacentral:rRNA from 1 species